CAUACCCUUAUCCUUUCGGCGCAAUGAAAAGUUCAACUUACCAUUGAGCGUCUCAUUUAUUCGUCAAAAAAGUGAGCUCCAAUUGGAUUUGUAUAAUUCCAAUACCGUUUGUGCACAAUUGGGAAAAAUCGAACUGGAAAUUUCAUUUUCAAUAGGAGAAUUUCAUAUAUAUAUUCCAAUACCGUUUGUCCGCAAUUUUAAUGCAUAAGUCUUACCAGAACUUUAUGUUCACAUGCUCUGUUUGAUUUGCGAGUGUGCGUGGUCUUGCAGAAAAAAUUAAACAAUAAUUUCAUGGAGAUGGAGGAGUUAUAUGUCUAUAUAUAUUGCGACAACGUCUUCCGACAACAUCAAGCUGGUGCACGAGAAUCGGACUGCUGCCUAUGAGCUGCUCAACUUUUUCGUGCUGAAUCGGUUGCCAACAUGGAUCGGAUCCCAAAGACGGCUCCCAGGUAGAAGAAAACGAGACUAAGCGGACAUUGAGUAUUAGAGUUUUUUUGGCGGCUGCCUGUGGGCAGCUAAUGAAAUGGCAGAAUCAGCACGACCCUACGUGUACUUUCAGAAGAACGCCGAGGCUGAUCGGUCAUAUCCUCAGUCUCCUGGUACUGGAAGAACUAUGCCGUCGACAUACAAGUGACCAGGCAUCUGAAUAUGACCAAAUCUUGGAUUCCCAAGCACUCAAAUGACGAGUUGGAGUAUCGAGUCGAAUCUGUGGGUGAUUAAAACGCGUUCACAUUAAACGAGCCGGCUCUUCAAGGUGCAGAAAACGAUGAGUGAGGAUAGCUACAUAUAUCUAAUAAUAUCUUAAAGUGUUAGAAACUUGUAUAUGUAUAUAAUACAGUAUGUACGUAUGUACAUAUGUACCUAAAUUAAAUCAUCCUUUUUCCCCACCACCCAUGAGGUAGA